rnacentral:rRNA from 1 species
AUUGAACGCUGGCGGCAUGCCUUACACAUGCAAGUCGAACGGUAACAGGUCUUCGGAUGCUGACGAGUGGCGAACGGGUGAGUAAUGCAUCGGAACGUGCCCAGUCGUGGGGGAUAACGCAGCGAAAGCUGUGCUAAUACCGCAUACGACCUAUGGAUGAAAGCGGGGGCCCGUAAGGCCUCGCGCGAUCGGAGCGGCCGAUGGCAGAUUAGGUAGUUGGUGGGAUAAAAGCUUACCAAGCCGACGAUCUGUAGCUGGUCUGAGAGGACGACCAGCCACACUGGGACUGAGACACGGCCCAGACUCCUACGGGAGGCAGCAGUGGGGAAUUUUGGACAAUGGGCGCAAGCCUGAUCCAGCCAUGCCGCGUGCAGGAUGAAGGCCUUCGGGUUGUAAACUGCUUUUGUACGGAACGAAAAGACUCUGGUUAAUACCUGGGGUCCAUGACGGUACCGUAAGAAUAAGCACCGGCUAACUACGUGCCAGCCGCCGCGGUAAUAC